CGAAACGGCUGCUAGCUGCAGUCUGUGACAGCGAAGAAAGCCAGGCACGACAUUCAGGGAGAACUGUGCAGAGGAAUAUUCCUCCACGUGUCAAACAGAAGGACGACUACCUUUUUCAGUGUCUCCGCGUGAACUGUAGCGCCUGUAGCGGCUUCUAGAGGACGCGACCAGAGCUCCCUGUGUCCCGGGCUCCUGCCAUCAGGCCCCGACUCUGGUCCCCAUCCAGCACACCUCCUCUGGCUCCGCUCUGAACCCCUGGGCCGGUGGAGAAAGGGUGUUCUCUUGCAUCAGGCCGCCCUCGGGGUGUUCACCCACACACACCAUCAUACAGCAGAUGAAA